GACGAACGCUGGCGGCGUGCUUAACACAUGCAAGUCGAGCGGAGCGGCGAACGGGUGAGUAACGCGUGAGUAACUGCCCCCCUCUCUGGGAUAACAGUUGGAAACGGCUGCUAAUACCGGAUAGUGGGGGAUGCCUCGCGGCCUAUCAGCCUGUUGGUGGGGUAGUGGCCUACCAAGGCGACGACGGGCAGCCGGCCUGAGAGGGCGACCGGCCACAUAGGGCUGAGGUCCGGGCCAAAGUCCUACGGGAGGCAUCAGUGGGGAAUAGUGCAUCGUGGGGGAAACCAUGAUGCAGCAACGCCGCGUGCGCGAUGACGGCCUUCGGGUGGUAAACCGCUUUCUGCCAAGACGCGGUAGUGGCAGAAGAGGCACCGGCUAACUACGUGCCAGCAGCCGCGGUAAUUC
rnacentral:rRNA from 1 species